rnacentral:rRNA from 1 species
AAGAUUGAAAGUGCCAACUGGUACACUAUAGGAUGGACCCGCGUUGUAUUAGCUAGUUGGUGAGGUAAAGGCUCACCAAGGCGAUGAUACAUAGCCGACCUGAGAGGGUGAUCGGCCACACUGGGACUGAGACACGGCCCAGACUCCUACGGGAGGCAGCAGUAGGGAAUCUUCGGCAAUGGACGAAAGUCUGACCGAGCAACGCCGCGUGAGUGAAGAAGGUUUUCGGAUCGUAAAACUCUGUUGUAAGAGAAGAACACCAGUAAGAGUGGAAAGCUUACUGGCUGACGGUAUCUUACCAGAAAGCCACGGCUAACUACGUG